rnacentral:rRNA from 2 species
ACACGUGGGAAACCUGCCCAGGAGCGGGGGAUAACACCUGGAAACAGAUGCUAAUACCGCAUAACAACUUGGACCGCAUGGUCCGAGCUUGAAAGAUGGCUUCGGCUAUCACUUUUGGAUGGUCCCGCGGCGUAUUAGCUAGAUGGUGGGGUAACGGCUCACCAUGGCAAUGAUACGUAGCCGACCUGAGAGGGUAAUCGGCCACAUUGGGACUGUGACACGGCCCAAACUCCUACGGGAGGCAGCAGUAGGGAAUCUUCCACAAUGGACGAAAGUCUGAUGGAGCAACGCCGCGUGAGUGAAGAAGGGUUUCGGCUCGUAAAACUCUGUUGUUAAAGAAGAACAUAUCUGAGAGUAACUGUUCAGGUAUUGACGGUAUUUAACCAGAAAGCCACGGCUAACUACGUGCCAGCAGCCGCGGUAAUACGUAGGUGGCAAGCGUUGUCCGGAUUUAUUGGGCGUAAAGCGAGCGCAGGCGGUUUUUUAAGUCUGAUGUGAAAGCCUUUCGGCUCAACCGAAGAAGUGCAUCGGAAACUGGGAAACUUGAGUGCAGAAGAGGACAGGUGGAACUCCAUGUGUAGCGGUGAAAUGCGUAGAUAUAUGGAAGAACACCAGUGGCGAAGGCGGCUGUCUGGUCUGUAACUGACGCUGAGGCUCGAAAGUAUGGGUAGCAAACAGGAUUAGAUACCCUGGUAGUCCAUACCGUAAACGAUGAAUGCUAAGUGUUGGAGGGUUUCCGCCCCUUCAGUGCUGCAGCUAACGCAUUAAGCAUUCCGCCUGGGGGAGUACGGCCGCAAGGCUGAAACUCAAAAGGAAUUGACGGGGGCCCGCACAAGCGGUGGAGCAUGUGGUUUAAUUCGAAGCUACGCGAAGAACCUUACCAGGUCUUGACAUACUAUGCAAAUCUAAGAGAUUAGACGUUCCCUUCGGGGACAUGGAUACAGGUGGUGCAUGGUUGUCGUCAGCUCGUGUCGUGAGAUGUUGGGUUAAGUCCCGCAACGAGCGCAACCCUUAUUAUCAGUUGCCAGCAUUAAGUUGGGCACUCUGGUGAGACUGCCGGUGACAAACCGGAGGAAGGUGGGGAUGACGUCAAAUCAUCAUGCCCCUUAUGACCUGGGCUACACACGUGCUACAAUGGAUGGUACAACGAGUUGCGAACUCGCGAGAGUAAGCUAAUCUCUUAAAGCCAUUCUCAGUUCGGAUUGUAGGCUGCAACUCGCCUACAUGAAGUCGGAAUCGCUAGUAAUCGCGGAUCAGCAUGCCGCGGUGAAUACGUUCCCGGGCCUUGUACACACCGCCCGUCACACCA